AACGUGCUUAACCUAUUUUCAAUUUAUUUGUCAGAUUAGCAUAGCAUUGUACUACGACGCAGUUUACGAAUAUUCCGAACCGAGAAUAUUACGAACAGAAACCUCAACGGAGUAAAGUGAAUAAUACCGUAUACCAUAGAGAAGACAGUAAACGAAGUAAAUAUAUGCAGAGAAGUCGCGGACGGCUUGCGUAUAUAUUUCGAUUUCGCAUAUUACCUCAUCUCCUGUUAUAUAGGACACUCGACGAGCUCCGGGUUUUCCCUAUCGAUGACGACGGUGAAUGUCUGCCAAGGAUAUGCGCCAGAAGAUGAACAAGAUCUCUUCAACAGAAAAUUGAAUCGCCCAGCAUGUCGAGUAUUUUCCGCAAGAAGUAAACUCCCCUUUGUGUCUUAUAGCAAGAAAUUCUGUGUGAGAAAAUCGAGUAUCACGUCGGCAAGAGAUUCGCGAGUGCAAGCACAAAAAAUUGUUGUUAGGCAUAAAUGUAUAAUGUUGUUUCAACGAAUGUUAACUUAUUUUUUUAUCGCGCUAGCUCUAUGAGUGACGUGUAAAUUAUUUUGUUUAAAUAUUAACACGGUCUGAGGAGUUUAGAGAUGAGAAAAGACGAAUGUUUUUUCACGUUUUGUAAAAUUCGGAUGUCCAUUGUGUCUGCACUCUCGCAGCGUUUGGAAUUUUCUCACUUUCUCAUGAUCCUCUUUAGGUAAAAGAAAAGAAAAAGAGUAAAUUCAAAACGCCACGAUUAACAGUAAUUAAUGUUUAAUUUCGAAGUCUGUCACUUUACAUAAUAAUAAACAAACGUCAUAGAUCAUAUAUCAUAUCAAAUUGUAUAUCGCAUAUCCGCAUAUACAUAUAUAUAUAUAAUACACAAGUGUUUUCCUCGUAGAAUAAUUUACAAAAUCAGACUGUCUAGAAAUACAGUUGCGUCCUGUUCCUGCUCGGUUCUGUUUUCCGUUAUUUUUUUCUUUCUUUUUUUAUAUAAUCACAGCUUAUCCCGAUACGUAAAAAAAACAUUGCUAUUGUAUUUUCCUUUUUCCGUUCGAUAAUUAAUCGACACAAUCAGAGAGUUUCUCUGAGACAUUCGUAAACUGCGAUAUGAGAAUUAAGGUUUCUCUGGGAUAUUCGUAAACUGCGUCGUAGUGAAAUGCUGUGCCAGAGAUUCUGGAAUAUUUAUCACAGUAGGUUGCGCCGGAAGUAUAAGCUGAAAUAAAUAUCAGUGAUAUAUUUGUAUGA